rnacentral:rRNA from 1 species
GACGAACGCUGGCGGCGUGCUUAACACAUGCAAGUCGAACGGCAAGGCCCUGCUUUUGUGGGGUGCUCGAGUGGCGAACGGGUGAGUAACACGUGAGUAACCUUCCCUUGACUUUGGGAUAACUUCAGGAAACUGGGGCUAAUACCGGAUAGGAGCUCCUGCUGCAUUGUGGGGGUUGGAAAGUUUCGGCGGUUGGGGAUGGACUCGCGGCUUAUCAGCUUGUUGGUGGGGUAGUGGCUUACCAUGGCUUUGACGGGUAGCCGGCCUGAGAGGGUGACCGGCCACAUUGGGACUGAGAUACGGCCCAGACUCCUACGGGAGGCAGCAGUGGGGAAUAUUGCACAAUGGGCGGAAGCCUGAUGCAGCAACGCCGCGUGCGGGAUGACGGCUUUCGGGUUGUAAACCGAUUUCGCCUGUGACGAAGCGGGAGUGACGGUAAUGGGUAAAGAAGCACCGGCUAACUACGUG